rnacentral:rRNA from 1 species
UAUAGUACACACUGGGCGAAAACCUGCUGCAGCAACGCCGCGCGAGUGUAGUAGGCCUUCGGGCCGCAAAUCCCUUUGAACAGGGAUGGUAAUGACAGUACCGGAAAACCAAGCCGGCGCUUGCUACGUGCCGGCAGGCGCGGUAAUACGUAGGUGGCGAGCGUUGUCCGGAAUUACUGGGCGUAAAGGAUGCGUAGGUGGAUACUUAAGUGGGAUGUGAAAUCCCCGGGCUCAACCCGGGAACUGCAUUCCAAACUGGGUAUCUAGAGUGCAGGAGAGGAAAGCGGAAUUCCUAGUGUAGCGGUGAAAUGCGUAGAUAUUAGGAGGAACACCAGUGGCGAAGGCGGCUUUCUGGACUGUAACUGACACUGAGGCAUGAAAGCGUGGGUAGCAAACAGG